rnacentral:rRNA from 1 species
UACAGAGGUCCCAAGCGUUGUUCGGAUUCACUGGGCGUAAAGGGUGCGUAGGUGGUGAGGUAAGUCGGAUGUGAAAUCUCCGAGCUCAACUCGGAAAUGGCAUUGGAAACUACCUUGCUCGAGGGUUGGAGGGGGGACUGGAAUUCCUGGUGUAGCGGUGAAAUGCGCAGAUAUCAGGAGGAACACCGGUGGCGAAGGCGGGUCUCUGGGCCGAUACUGACGCUGAGGAGCGAAAGCGUGGGGAGCGAACAGG